GCCUGGAUAGCUCAGUUGGUUUGAGCAUGGUGUUGAUAAUGCCAAGGUUUCAAGUUCGAUCCCUGUAUGGGACA